AGGCCAUGGUGAGGAACUCUCCUUAGCAGCUCCUUGUAUUGUUCUCAUGACUUGUAUAAAGAUUCCCCCUCUUACUGGAAAAAAGUAGUGAUGUCAUUCCUCAUUUU
rnacentral:snoRNA from 1 species